rnacentral:rRNA from 1 species
UACGUAGGGUGCAAGCGUUGUCCGGAAUUAUUGGGCGUAAAGAGCUCGUAGGCGGCUUGUCGCGUCGUCCGUGAAAACCUGCGGCUCAACUGCAGGCUGGCGGUCGAUACGGGCAGGCUGGAGUUCGGUAGGGGAGACUGGAAUUCCUGGUGUAGCGGUGAAAUGCGCAGAUAUCAGGAGGAACACCGGUGGCGAAGGCGGGUCUCUGGGCCGAUACUGACGCUGAGGAGCGAAAGCGUGGGGAGCGAACAGG